GCCGUGGUAGUGUAGUGGUUUAACACACCCGUGGUCUUAACACGUGCGCAGUCAUUCGUUGUUACUCAACGCCGUGUCAGUCUAGAUCCGAGGAGGUCGCGGGUUCGAUUCCUGCUCAUGGUG
rfam:Aureobasidium pullulans var. pullulans EXF-150 unplaced genomic scaffold scaffold_8, whole genome shotgun sequence.